UACAGAGGGUGCGAGCGUUAAUCGGAAUUACUGGGCGUAAAGCGCACGUAGGUGGCUUUGCAAGUCGAUUGUGAAAUCCCCCGGCUUAACCUGGGAACUGCGUCUGAUACUGGAGGGCUUGAGUAUGGGAGAGGGAUGUAGAAUUCCAGGUGUAGCGGUGAAAUGCGUAGAUAUCUGGAGGAAUACCGGUGGCGAAGGCGGCAUCCUGGACCAUUACUGACGCUGAGGCGCGAAAGCUAGGGGAGCAAACGGG
rnacentral:rRNA from 1 species